UACGGAGGGAGCUAGCGUUGUUCGGAAUUACUGGGCGUAAAGGGCUCGUAGGCGGUUUGUCGCGUCGGGAGUGAAAACUCAGGGCUUAACCCUGAGCCUGCUUCCGAUACGGGCAGACUAGAGGUAUGCAGGGGAGAACGGAAUUCCUGGUGUAGCGGUGAAAUGCGCAGAUAUCAGGAGGAACACCGGUGGCGAAGGCGGUUCUCUGGGCAUUACCUGACGCUGAGGAGCGAAAGUGUGGGGAGCGAACGGG
rnacentral:rRNA from 1 species